AGAGUUUGAUCAUGGCUCAGGACGAACGCUGGCGGCGUGCCUAACACAUGCAAGUCGAGCGAAGCUUUUAAAGUGAAUCCCUUCGGGGUGAAACUUUAAAUGUCUUAGCGGCGGACGGGUGAGUAACGCGUGAGAAACCUGCCUUUCACAAAGGGAUAGCCUCGGGAAACUGGGAUUAAUACCUUAUGAUACAUAAUUACCGCAUGGUAGUUAAGUCAAAGCGUAAAGUGGUGAAAGAUGGUCUCGCGUCCCAUUAGUUAGUUGGUGAGGUAACGGCUCACCAAGACUGCGAUGGGUAGCCGGCCUGAGAGGGUGAACGGCCACACUGGAACUGAGACACGGUCCAGACUCCUACGGGAGGCAGCAGUGGGGAAUAUUGCACAAUGGAGGAAACUCUGAUGCAGCGACGCCGCGUGAACGAUGAAGGCCUUCGGGUCGUAAAGUUCUGUCCUAGGGGACGAUAAUGACGGUACCCUAGGAGGAAGCCCCGGCUAACUACGUGCCAGCAGCCGCGGUAAUACGUAGGGGGCGAGCGUUGUCCGGAAUUAUUGGGCGUAAAGGGUUCGCAGGCGGUCUUUUAAGUCAGAUGUGAAAGGCUACGGCUCAACCGUGGUAAGCAUUUGAAACUGAAAGACUUGAGUUAAGGAGAGGAAAGUGGAAUUCCUAGUGUAGCGGUGAAAUGCGUAGAUAUUAGGAGGAAUACCAGUGGCGAAGGCGACUUUCUGGACUUAUACUGACGCUGAGGAACGAAAGCGUGGGGAGCAAACAGGAUUAGAUACCCUGGUAGUCCACGCCGUAAACGAUGAGUGCUAGGUGUUGGGGGUCAAACCUCGGUGCCGCAGCUAACGCAUUAAGCACUCCGCCUGGGGAGUACGUACGCAAGUAUGAAACUCAAAGGAAUUGACGGGGACCCGCACAAGCAGCGGAGCAUGUGGUUUAAUUCGAAGCAACGCGAAGAACCUUACCAGGGCUUGACAUGCCACUGACCGCAUCAGAGAUGGUGUUUUACCUUCGGGUACAGUGGACACAGGUGGUGCAUGGUUGUCGUCAGCUCGUGUCGUGAGAUGUUGGGUUAAGUCCCGCAACGAGCGCAACCCUUGCCUUUAGUUGCCAUCAUUAAGUUGGGCACUCUAGAGGGACUGCCGAUGACAAAUCGGAGGAAGGUGGGGAUGACGUCAAAUCAUCAUGCCCCUUAUGUCUAGGGCUACACACGUGCUACAAUGGUGAGUACAAAGAGAUGCAAGACCGCAAGGUGGAGCCAAACUCAAAAACUCAUCCCAGUUCGGAUUGUAGGCUGCAACUCGCCUACAUGAAGCCGGAGUUGCUAGUAAUCGCGAAUCAGCAUGUCGCGGUGAAUACGUUCCCGGGCCUUGUACACACCGCCCGUCACACCAUGAGAGCUGGUAACACCCGAAGUCCGUGAGGUAACCGUAAGGAGCCAGCGGCCGAAGGUGGGAUUAGUGAUUGGGGUGAAGUCGUAACAAGGUAGCCGUA
rnacentral:rRNA from 1 species